CCUACGGGAGGCAGCAGUCGAGAAUCAUUCACAAUGGGCGCAACCCUGAUGGUGCGAUGCCGCGUGUGUGAAUGAAGGCCUUCGGAUUGUAAACACCUGUCACGUGGGAGCAAACUAAAAAGAUAGUACCAUAAGAGGAAGAGACGGCUAACUCUGUGACAGCAGCCGCGGUAAUACAGAGGUCUCAAGCGUUGAUCGGAAUCACUGGGCGUAAAGCGUGCGUAGGCUGUUUCGUAAGUCGUGUGUGAAAGGCGCGGGCUCAACCCGCGAACGGCACACGAUACUGGGAGACUAGAGUAAUGGAGGGGGAACCAGAAUUCCCGGUGUAGCAGUGUAAUGCGUAGAGAUCGGGAGGAACACUCGUGGCGAAGGCGGGUUCCUGGACAUAAACUGACGCUGAGGUGCGAAGGCCAGGGGAGCGAAAGGGAUUAGAUACCCGGGUAGUC
rnacentral:rRNA from 1 species